GUUAGUCAUCAGCCAUAAGGGACCAAAAAGGAACGUGAAUUGGCCAGCAAAACUUACGGCUGACCUUCACUGCAGCCGAGACAUGGCUGAUCAGCCAUUGGCUGAUUUUUAUGGCUCUUAUCUCCCACCUAAAUCACACUUAAUACCCUCUUAACACCAACCCAUUUCCUUAAAUUCCCUAGACAUUUGAAUACUGUAAUGACAAAAGCCUUCACAACCAUUUUACCAUCGCACACCAUCCUCUAUCUCUCUCCACUCUUGAUCGUCUCCCUCCCUCUCUGAUAAGCAAUCAGCCAACCACCAUCACUUGGUGGCGGCGCUCGGAGGCGGCGGCAGAACCACCACAGCAGCAGCACGGUGGUGGGUGGCGUUUCAGUGGUGGUUGCGGCCUAAAGACGGUGGUUACGGGCAGUGGCAGCGGCGACGACGAAGACGACGGUUCUGCCGUUCUUUUCCGGUGAGUUUUAAUUCGUUUUUGGGUCACAAUUCAGUUUAAUUCGAGUUUCGGUUUGUUUGGUCCUGGAACAUCGGGUCAGACUCGGUACGGUCCUUGUUCGGGAUUCGUUUUGCUUUCGGUCAAGCGGGUCAAAUACGGUCAACAUCGCGGACGCACGUCGGAGCUCGACGGAACUUACGGAUCAUCGUUCCACGGUUCGGUAUGCCUACUGGUACUUGUUUCGUUCUUUUGGAUUUCUCAAUCUUUACUCGUGCGUUACAAGGAAUUCUUAUACGCAACCAAUGUUGAUGAUGACGAUGCUAUAAAAAGAAGUAGCGUUGAUGCCUAGAUACACAUAUAGACGUUUAGGUUAAUAUGUUGUAUCAAAUUUUGCUUAUGUUGUUAUGUAUUACUUUUUGGAACUUGUUGUCAUUUGAGUUUAUGUAAUGUUGACUAUUUGAAGUUAUGAAAUGAAAUUGGGAUUAUUAAAAUAUUGUCACAAAUAGCGUUAUGAUGUCUCUAGCAAUCUUCACACUUCGUCUCAUCCCGAUGUUUCCGCCAUUGGUUGGGGUGUGACACAUACUAUGCGUUAAAAAUGCUUAAAAAGGCGAUUUGGAGCCAUUUCUGGGUUUUUAAAGAAAAGCUGAUAUUUUUAUAAUUCCAGAAGGCUCAAAAUAAUUUAUUUAUCAUAUUAAACUAGUAGAAAAAGGUUUGGGGUCAAGAAUUUGUAAAACUCAUUUUAUAGCCCAAAAGGGCAAAACCGACAAUUCCCGAGUCAAGCUUAGAACUCUAAGUUAUGCU
rnacentral:lncRNA from 1 species